GGGUCACUUCUCAGCGGCAAUCAACACAUUACUGGAAGAGCGAGGCACCGAACUUUUAAUCAGUAGGUCGCUGGUUCGAACCCAGCAGGGUUCACCA
rnacentral:tRNA from 1 species